UGUAAGCCUCUGUCCUAGGGGAAGAAAAAAAUGACGGUACCCGAGGAGGAAGCCCCGGCUAACUACGUGCCAGCAGCCGCGGUAAUACGUAGGGGGCAAGCGUUAUCCGGAAUUAUUGGGCGUAAAGAGUGCGUAGGUGGUCUACUAAGCGCGAGGUGAAAGGCAAUGGCUCAACCAUUGUUAGCCUUGUGAACUGGCAGACUUGAGUGCAAGAGAGGAAAGCGGAAUUCCUAGUGUAGCGGUGAAAUGCGCAGAUAUUAGGAGGAACACCGGCGGCGAAGGCGGCUUUCUGGAUUGUAACUGACACUGAGGCACGAAAGCGUGGGUAGCAAACAGGAUUAGAUACCCUGGUAGUCCACGCCGUAAACGAUGAGCACUAGGUGUCGGGACAUGAGUCUCGGUGCCGCAGUAAACGCAAUAAGUGCUCCGCCUGGGGAGUACGCACGCAAGUGUAAAACUCAAAGGAAUUGACGGGGGACCGCACAAGCAGCGGAGCAUGUGGUUUAUCGAAGCACGCGAAGAACCUACC
rnacentral:rRNA from 1 species